rnacentral:lncRNA from 1 species
GGUCAGUCCAGCUUUCUAUUGAAAGUAGAAGGCAGAUGACAGAUCUGAGUGGCUAUGUUGAACUCCGGUUGUGUGUGUGUUUCUGCUAAGAAUGUAAAUUUCAACUGCCAGAUCUUUUGAAAACAUAAGAAACAUCAGAAAUUACAGCAGAAUAUUUGAUUUCAUAUUUCAGAUUACUUUCCAAAAUAAAUGCUUACAAGGCCUCUGUCUUAGUAUUAAAGUCUGCUACAUUCAAUAAAUUCAGACAAAUGUUUUUCUCAUAACUUGUUCCAUAUCAAUUCAGAAAGUCUAAGAGCAUCACCUAGGCUCUGAAAUCUGCUCCUUUCCAAGAGCGGUUGUAUGGUGACCUGGUUCAGCUCAGUGUUGGUUACUUUUCUUGAUGCUAGAACAAAAUACUUGACAAAAGCAAGUUAAGGAAAGGCAGGUUUAUUCUGGAAGAUAUAUUCAAACAGAUAUAUUCCAACAUGGCAGGAAAGAACCAGAGAUGCUGAUUACAUUGUUAUCAACACUCUGAAGGAGAAAGAAAACAGGUAAGAUCUGGUUGUAGAAUCUCAUCACAGCCCCUGGCUAUGCACAUCCUCCAAUGUGGUUCCACCUCCCCACUAUUACAUAAACCUCUCUAAUAAUAUCAUCAGCUAGAAAGCACGUGUUCAAAUACAAGAGCUCAUGGACUUUUCCCCAUUGUUUGGGGGUGAGUAUUAUUGGAAUUAUUAUUUAUUGUUGGUAUUAUUAUUGCAAGUAAUAUUAUAAUUAUUAUUUACCUGGCUUAUAAACAUUACCCUCUGUUCUCUCCUGGUCAUCCUUGUGGCUAGCUUUUCUGUUAUUCCUCAAUGCCAGAUUAUUCCCUGUCCUCUUUUUAACUUCUGAGUCCUUAGCUUACAUGUAGCUUAAAUUUUGGUGUUUUCUCUGUGACAUGAGAGCCCUUCCAUGGUAAGACUCUAUUCUUCCAUCUUGAUCUUGGCAGAUCACUUUCUGCACCAGCAGGACUUGUCUCUGUUCCCCAGAGUUGAAUUCAAAACCUACCACGUAUCCUGGCAUCUGUCUGGCAACUACAGAAUGCAUCCUCUCCUCUUGUGUCUUUGCUUGCUCUUUCUAAUGACCCGUCUAGUUGCACAAAUGUGACCUUCACAGUAGCCUUUCUGGGCCUCAG